CUCCUCUAGCAACAGGAGCAGGAAGGACCCGCCUAAGUCCAACUGCACAUGAUCUUCUCCAGAAAAUCUCCUAACAGGAAAAAUCAUGGCAGUGAUAACAACCUGGAAGCUGUACAUUCAUGUCCUGUAAGCUAACUUUGUCCACCCUUGGCCAAAAGAGGGUACUGAGAAGACAAAAGUAGCCCUGAUGGCUGUCGGCUGAGCUGGCCUGGCUCUAACAGCUGGGCCAUGGUAUUCUGCUGGACAGAAAGAAUGUCACAGAACAAGUCGGACAAGCCCACUCUGUGACUGUGAUGGGGCAAAACAAAAACAAGGCCAGUUGUUUUUAUGGAAUUUUAUGGAAUCGUGUCUGGUGGAGAACAGCCAAAAUCAAGAACACCGUCCACAUCACAAAAGGCUGUACUAAUGUGCUUCUGGCAACGGAUGCUGCGAACCUUUUCCUUGGGAAGCCACGUUUGUCGUGCUCCGUGGUGAGGAACUUCAAGUCCUGACCCAAGCAUGCCUGCAGGAGCUGGAGGAGAUAUAAUUUACUUCCUAAGAAGCUGGCUAUACCCGUCAGAACGCUGGCAGUCCACCUGUCCUGGCAUUUCACACAGUGCUUGUUUUCCAAACCCAAGAAACAUAAACUGCUGUCUCUAAUUAACAGCAGAGCAUCCCUCUUGUCCAAGUCCUGAAAUGAUCCUGCUGCUCGAUCUGGCAUAAAGCUUCUAGCAGAGUCCUGGUGGCAGGAAAAGACAUUUCUAGAAGAUAAUUUAGGAGACAAGCUGUAUGCCCACUUUUCUAAGCACUUUAAGUGAAUCUUUUGGAUCCGAA